rnacentral:rRNA from 1 species
UACGUAGGGGGCAAGCGUUGUCCGGAAUCAUUGGGCGUAAAGAGCGUGUAGGCGGCUAGGUAGGUCCGUUGUGAAAACUCGAGGCUCAACCUCGAGACGUCGAUGGAAACCAUCUGGCUAGAGUCCGGAAGAGGAGAGUGGAAUUCCUGGUGUAGCGGUGAAAUGCGCAGAUAUCAGGAAGAACACCCGUGGCGAAGGCGGCUCUCUGGUACGUGACUGACGCUGAGACGCGAAAGCGUGGGGAGCGAACAGG